UCCACCUUCAUCGCAGAGCUUCCUAACACUAACAACACUGAAACCAGACUGCUUUGAAACCUUACACUGGGAUCUCAGCAGACACCAUGGCUACGAUCAGUGAUGUCUCAUCCAAAUACAAGGACAUCAUCUCCAAAAUUGCUAAUAGUCCAGAAUCUCCUACUCUUUACCAGCUGAGACCAAAAAAAGAGGAGUUUGGAACUCUGACCAGAAUGACUGUUGGUGAGAAAAAUCAUAGCAAGAAAAAUAAAACCAUCUUACUUGUGGGUGAAAAAGGAGCAGGAAAAUCUA